rnacentral:rRNA from 1 species
CAAUAGCGUAUAUUAAAGUUGUUGCAGUUAAAAAGCUCGUAGUUGGAUUUGUGGCGUACGGUGUGUUCCGGGCACUUGUUGCCUGAGUAACCUGCUGUUGCCAUCCUUGGGUGGAACCUGUGUGGCAUUAGGUUGUCGUGCAGGGGAUGCCCAUCAUUUACUGUGAAAAAAUUAGAGUGUUCAAAGCAGGCUUAUGCCGUUGAAUAUAUUAGCAUGGAAUAAUGAGAUAGGACUUUUUUGCUAUUUUGUUGGUUUGCGCAAAGAGGUAAUGAUUAAUAGGGACAGUUGGGGGUAUUCGUAUUCCAUUGUCAGAGGUGAAAUUCUUGGAUCUUUGGAAGACGAACUACUGCGAAAGCAUUUACCAAGGAUGUUUUCAUUAA